GAUCGCGUAGCUCAGUUGGCAGAGCAGCCGCCUUUUAAGCGGCCGGUCCUGGGUUCGAGUCCCAGCGCGAUCA
rnacentral:tRNA from 1 species